AACUGGGGAUGGCAAGGACCAGGCCAAACCAGCGCCAUGAGACCGCAACCACCAGGCCCACAACCACAGUUGUUCUCAGUUGCAGCAGCAUCAUCAGGAUUCUCUAAUUUCCGGCAACAACCUCCCAAUGACAAUGCCUCCUCUCUUGGUUACUUUUAUCCACAACCUUAACUUACAGAGGAGGCUUUAAAACUAUGAGUGUUAUGGUAACUGGAUUAUUUAUAAAAUGGGAUAUGCUUUUCUUUAUCGUCGAUGUGAAACAUGUUCUUCCGUGUACCUUGGUAAAGAGAACACGACUCUUGGAAACUGUAAGGCAAAAGUUUUGUAAAUAACAUAAAAAGUAAAAUUAUUGUCGGUAUAUUUACUUAUAUACUCAUAUCAUUAAUAUAUAAUUAACAUAACAUAUACUUAUUUCAUUGUUAACAACAUUAUUAUAAAAUGUUUUUUGUUGAAACAGUAGACCUGAACAUUAGAAUUUAAUUCUACCUAAAUAAAAAUCGAUUAGAUCUAAAUUAAAAAAAAAACAAAACCAAUUUAACUAAUUCAAACUAUUUAAAAGCUAUUAGUUAAAUUAAAUCAGAUCGGAUAGAUUAAAUUGAAUCAAUUAAAUCGAGUCGGUUUUCUAUUUGAAAUAUAUCAGUUUACUAAUAUUGAACGAACCCAUUUAUUCGAUCCACAUUUUUCGACAAAUAAAAUAAUCCAUACAUCCAAUCCACAUUUUUGAAAAUAAAAUAUGAUUAUGAGGUUAAUUACAUAAUAUAUAUCAUCAUACUAACUAUAUAGUUAUUGUAAUUGGAGACAGUAAUUUUUAAGUAUAAAUGUGUAGCCAUGAUGUUUAUUAUUGGUGCAACAGAUUUCACCAAUAAAACAAACUGAGAAUUGGGUUUUUGUCGGUACGUGAUUUGGUUAUUUGAUAUAUCUAAUAGCAAUAAUUGAAAAGAACAACAGUAAAGAGAGGGAUAGUGAUAGGAUGUGACAACUUUGGCUGCCUCUUCGGAACCCCAAAGGAUUCGUGGAGAAAACAUUAGCUUUCCAUUUGUAUACAUAUAUUCGGAUAUGACCAAAAUAUAUACUUAUAUUCUAAAAUCACGUGUCAAAUAUAGUAACUUAGCUAUCUAUAUACGAUUGAGAGUUGUCAUAAAUAACGUAGUACCUAACCAUAUACUAGUACUAGGCCUGGGACGGAUCGGAUAUCCGGGUAAUUUUAAGGUAUCCGGAUCCGGAUCCUUAUCCGGCGGAUCCAUAAUUUUAUUAUCCUUAUCCGGAUCCGGGGUUCUCGGAUAUCCGGGUGUCGGAUAUCCUUCUAAAAAUUGUAAUAUCCGGCGGAUAUCCGGAUCCGGAUUUGGAUCCUUAAAAUAAAUAAAAAAUAAUAUUAAUAUAUAUAAAAUAUUAACAAUAAUUUAAAAAUAAAAANNNNNNNNNNNNNNNNNNNNNNNNNNNNNNNNNNNNNNNNNNNNNNNNNNNNNNNNNNNNNNNNNNNNNNNNNNNNNNNNNNNNNNNNNNNNAAGAGUUUUAAUAAAUCUAUUUUAAAAAGUUGUUUGGACUCUUUCAUUUAACUCAUUAUUUUUUGGUCUUACCUUAAAUUUAGACUAACAAUAUGUUACCAUAUAUUUCUCUAACAAUAAUUUAUUUAAUUUCUUUAUUUAUUCACUACUAUUACUAUAUUUACCAUUUUGAUUUUUAAUCGUAAAAGCAUUGAAACUAAUGUUUUAUAUUAUCAUUUUUAUCAUAUAAUAUAUGAUUUAAAGCAAGAGAAGUUAUUCGACAUAUAUGUGUACAUUCUAACUUCUUCUUUCUUUUAUAAUAAAGUAAUCAUAUCAUAUAUAAAUUUUCGCACUAAAAUCUCAUAUCAUAUAGUAAACUUUCAACCGUCUAUGGUUUGAUAGAUAUUUUCAUAUCUAAAAAUGAGUUUUCUGAAUAUUCAUGUUACCUUCACAAAAAUGUAGAAAUUCAUUGGUUUUUUUUUAAGUUAACCCGACUUCACGAUAUCAGUAUUGAUUAUUCACGAUUUUGAAAAUUAUUGGUUUAGAUAUUAUAUUUUUUUAUACUUUCACUUAAAAACGAAUCAAUACUAUUAAAAGAGAAAUAGUCUUAAAAAAUCUAAUAUAAACAAGUUGUUGGAGUCACGUAUAACUAUUUUUUUUUGGUAAUACCAUUAAUCAUUCUAACCAUACAAAAUUUUAAAUAUUUUUAAUAUAUCCUAAUAUUAUUCUUUAUGAUAUCUUUACUCAGAAAAAUAUUUCAUCAACCAUGUUUAUGUACAAUAACGUUAAAAAUAUAUAUCAAAAAGUUGUUGGACCUGAUAUAAACGUAAUGGGUCCACAUAUGUUCAGGUAUUUAGGAUCUUAAAAAAAUCACAAUAUCUAAAAAACCGGAAAAAUAUUCGAAACUCCAAACAAAUACCCAAAAAAAUUCAAAUACCUAAAAAUUCAAAAUAUUAUUCAAAGUCUGAGACGAUGAACUGAAAAAUACCCAAUUUUUUUUUUAAUUUGAAAAUUUACCUGAAAUCAAAAACUAUAAUCAUAAACCAAAAACUUAAAAAAAAAUGUCCAUACUAGAGGAAACAUAUUUGAAAUAUCUAAAUAUACCUAAUAAACACAACAUAUUUAUGAUCGGAUCUAGGGUAUGAUCCAGACUCAAACAAAGACAUGCGGGUCAAAAAAAAUCCAAUAUGUUAUCUUCUCUAGACCUGAACUAAACCUAUAUUUUCGGGUCGGUUCAGUUUGUUUUUUUAUCCGGAUAUAAUUAUAAUGCCUAAAAUAAACUUACGUAAAAGUGUAUAUAUAAAAUCUCAAUUAAACUAAUUCAUAGAUUAUAUAACUGUUAAAAAUUAUAUUUUUUGAUAUAAUAAAACUUUGUAUUAUAAUAUAAUCCAAAAAACCCGCACUUGAAAAUCUAGUUUACUAUUAAAAUAUAAUUGUAUGCUUUAAAAUUGUAAACACUAGUUAUUAUUAUGUUAAUGAUCGAAAUUCCGUUGAAAAUUUUAGAGCCAGAAAUGCCUAACCCUAGUUAUUAUAUCCUUACUUAAAAUGGACGGCAGUGUCUCUCACAAACAAAUAAAAAAGUACUGUACUUAGAGCCAGAAGCCAGGUCACAAACCAAAGCAUUGACCCAAAAGCAGUGCGUACCGGAUUUAGUUGUAAUAAUAAAACGAAUAUAAAGACCGGAAACCUGUUAAACCGGUGCACCACUGCCAAAAAAGGACCAACAACAAUUAACGUUAUACACACUACCGAUAUAACAUAUACUUACAAUUUAUUUAAUUAUAAAUAUUGAUCUUCCUCUUAAAAUGUGUCUGAAAUGUUCCCUCACACGUCUCCCUCCUCUCACUCUCUCUCUCUCUUUCUCUCUCUAUCUUCUCCGUUUAACAGUCUCUCGCCGGCGGUAACUUUUUCCGGCGAUGAAACUUCUCUUCCUCAUUCCUCACCGUGAUUUCUAAACCUCCUUCUCUCUCAUCUUAUCACGUGAUCAACAGACUUUAUACUGUUUCUUGUCAAUCUUUUAUAAACCUUUUGUAAACUUUUCCGACAGAGACACAAGAUGUUGGAUCUUAACCUCGACGCUGACUCUCCCGAGUCAACUCAGUACGGUGACUCGUACGCAGAUCGGAAAACAUCAGACGGCUCCGGGAACCGGUCAGAGACGUCCACGUCGUCGGUCAUCAAUGCUGAAGCUGACGACGACUCUUGCUCGACUCGUGCUUUUACUCUAAAUUUCGAUAUUUUAAAAGUCGGAAGCAGCGGCGACGGCUGUGGCGGUGGCGGAGAUGAAAGCACCGCCGUGACUAAAGAGUUUUUCCCGGUGGCUGGAGACUGUGGGCAUCUACGAGGGUCGAGCUCUAGAAGCUGGAUAGAUCUCUCUUUCGAUGGCUCGAGGCAAGGAGAAACAAACUUAGUGGCUCCGGCGCCGGCGCCGGCUCCGGUGAAAAAGAGUCGGAGAGGACCGAGGUCAAGGAGUUCGCAGUACAGAGGAGUUACCUUCUACCGAAGAACUGGUAGAUGGGAGUCACAUAUAUGGUAAAAGCCAAUUAAAACUCCCUGACUUCUUAUUUAAAAUUUCAUUAAUUCAACUUUUUAUUUUAGUUUCUGAAACUGAUUAAAAAUUAAAAACCUUUAUUUGUACUUUGUGAAAUUCGAUUAAAAUCCAAAAACUCUGUUUUGGUUUUUAUUAUUUGCAGGGAUUGUGGGAAACAAGUCUAUUUAGGUAAAAGAUUUAAAUUUUCAUUAUUUUAGUUCUUGAUUUCAUUUUUAACAAUCUUCUUGAUUUUUCACGUAUAGGUGGUUUUGACACUGCUCAUGCCGCGGCUAGGUAAAGUUUUAGAUCAUUUUUCAGCAUUGUUUGUGUCUUUUGAUGAUUAUGAUCUUAUUUCUUUUUAUAUAUAUUUAGAGCUUAUGAUCGAGCUGCUAUCAAAUUUAGAGGAGUUGAUGCUGAUAUCAACUUCACUCUCGGCGAUUACGAGGAAGAUAUGAAACAGGUUUAGUUUUUAUAUUAUUUGUGUCAUCUAGUAAAAUCCUUUCUUUCAUGGAAAAUGUUAAUUGAGUGUUUGCCCCUCUCAACAGGUUCAAAACUUAAGCAAGGAAGAGUUUGUGCACAUACUCCGUCGACAGAGCACAGGUUUCUCUCGGGGAAGCUCCAAGUACCGAGGAGUUACAUUACACAAAUGUGGGAGAUGGGAAGCUAGGAUGGGUCAGUUUCUUGGUAAAAAGUGAGCCAACUUUUUCUCUCUUUGAUCUGAGCACUUAGAAGUAAUGUUAAAUGACUAGAAAAUGGUGUCUUAGUAAUUGAAACCAAAAGUGGUGAGAUUGUUAAAAUGUUUUGGGGAUUUUUAAGAUGGGUUGAAUUGCAGGUAUGUUUACCUUGGGCUGUUCGACAGCGAAGUAGAAGCUGCAAGGUCAUAUUAAAACAAUGAUCAUGAAUCUUUUACUUGUUUUGCCAGAGAAAAUAAAAAACUUUCUAUUCUUAAAGUUUUGUACCUCUUUAAGAAGAACUCCACUAGAGCUCUUUUUUUAACUCUUUCUGAACACUUUGUUCUUGAAAACAGGGCUUAUGAUAAGGCUGCGAUAAGCUCUAAUGGUAGGGAAGCAGUUACCAACUUCGAGCUUAGUUCAUACCAGAAUGAGACUAACUCUGAGACCAAUAACCAAGGUAACGUACAUAAUCUAGUGUAAUACUUUAAUCAUCAGUCUAUAAAACACAGCUUAUGAUUGUUGUUUUAUUUAUUUAUGAAGGUGCUCAUGACAAGCUUGAUCUCAGCUUGGGAAUGUCUCUUUCCCCCGGGAAUGCGUCAAAGCAAAACGGAAGGCUCUUUCAUUACCCUUCUAAUACUUAUGAAACUCAGCGUGGAGUUAGUUUAACGGUAAUUUCUCAACACCAAUCUCUGAAAAAAUCAUGAAAACGUUUAGUUAUUGUCUUACAACGCUUGCAGAUAGGUAAUGAGUUCAUGGGAAAGCCGGUGAACGCACCUCUUCCUUAUGGUUCAUCGGACCAUCGCGCUUACUGGAACGGUUAUAACAACCCUGUCGAGGUAAAAAAAAAUAAUAAUCUGAAAUGUAACCAGAAAAAACUAUGUAAAAACCAUACAAUGAGAUAAUGUUUGUUUGCUUGUUUCUUAUGUUUUGGUUUCCAGGGAAGGGCAACAGAGAAGAGAAGUGAAGCUGAAGGAGGAGGGAUGAUGAGUAACUGGGGAUGGCAAGGACCAGGCCAAACCAGCGCCAUGAGACCGCAACCACCAGGCCCACAACCACAGUUGUUCUCAGUUGCAGCAGCAUCAUCAGGAUUCUCUAAUUUCCGGCAACAACCUCCCAAUGACAAUGCCUCCUCUCUUGGUUACUUUUAUCCACAACCUUAACUUACAGAGGAGGCUUUAAAACUAUGAGUGUUAUGGUAACUGGAUUAUUUAUAAAAUGGGAUAUGCUUUUCUUUAUCGUCGAUGUGAAACAUGUUCUUCCGUGUACCUUGGUAAAGAGAACACGACUCUUGGAAACUGUAAGGCAAAAGUUUUGUAAAUAACAUAAAAAGUAAAAUUAUUGUCGGUA
rnacentral:lncRNA from 1 species